GGUUCCAUAGUGUAGCGGUUAGCAUGUCUACUUUACAAGCAGAAGGUCCUGGAUUUGCACCCCAGCGGAGCUA
rnacentral:tRNA from 1 species